rnacentral:lncRNA from 1 species
CCUCUCCACCUUCUCCGAGUUGGGCAUCUCCGGCGCGGCCCACGCUUGGAUUGCGUCCUACCUGACAGGUCGCUCCUACCAGGUGGCGAAUCGCAUCUCUGCAUGUCUGUCAGACAUAUCAGUGUGGAUGACGGAUCACCAGCUCAAGCUGAACCUCGGCAAGACGGAGCUGCUCUUCCUCCCGGGGAAGGACUGCCCGUUCCAUGAUCUCGCCAUCACGGUUGACAACUCCCUUGUGUCCUCCUCCCAGAGUGCUAAGAACCUUGGCGUGAUCCUGGACAACACCCUGUCGUUCUCCACUAACAUCAAGGCGGUGACCCGAUCCUGUAGGUUCAUGCUCUACAACAUUCGCAGAGUACGACCCUGCCUCACACAGGAAGCGGCGCAGGGCUCCCUGCCUGUGCCAUUAAACCCCUACAACUCAUCCAGAACGCCGCAGCCCGUCUGGUGUUCAACCUUCCCAAGUUCUCUCACGUCACCCCGCUCCUCCGCUCUCUCCACUGGCUUCCAGUUGAAGCUCGCAUCCGCUACAAGACCAUGGUGAUUGCCUACGGAGCUGUGAA